UGAAUUAAACCUUUUUUUUAAUUUAUUGUUUACAGUCAAAGAAGGGAGUGUAAAACUUUGGUGUUAGGUAAAGCAAAAUCGCCGUCCCCCUAACACAAACCCUAACAGAAAUGAGUAUGAGUAUGGCAGAUGAAGCGGAAGAUGCUAUAUUGGCAUAUCUCAAAGACAACGAUGAGAUUUCAAAUUCUGCUAACUUUGCUCAGGAUUUGGGUUUUAGCCAUGACGACAUUGUCAAUGUUAUUCGCAGACUCCAUGGCUUUCGACUUGUGGAUGCUAAGGACAUUAGGAGAGAGAGAUGGGUGCUUACUGAAGAGGGGAAAACUUAUGCUGCUGUAGGUUCACCAGAAUUUCAGCUUUUCUCAGCAGUACCAUCGGAGGGAAUUGCGAGGGAAGAUUUGCAGAAAAAAUUGGAUCCUGCAGUUUAUAAAAUUGGUUGUCAGCAAGCUAUAAAGAACAAGUGGGUGGAGAUGGCAAAGACUCAUGUCUCAAAGAAGGUCCAACAUGCUGAUGACAAAGUUAAAAAUUUGCUGUUGCGGAUACAAAAUGACGAGGCUGUCAAUCAGGAGGAUAUUGAUGCUCUAAAGCGAAGAAAACUAAUAAUUCAGCAGGUUUGGAAAGGAAAUUCCGUAAGAAAAGGUCCUGAAUAUGCCCCAAAAAGGAAAAGAGCAGCCACUGAUCUCACUCGGGAAAAUUUACAGAGGGGUGAUUGGAAGGAAUUGGAAUUUAAAGAGUACAACUUCAGUGCUAAAGGUCAGCCUGUCGAAGGCGGCCAUCUUCAUCCAUUGCUCAAGGUUAGGCGGCAGGUACAAACGAUUUUUCUUAAUAUGGGGUUUGAGGAGAUGCCAACAAAUAAUUAUGUCGAAAGCAGUUUUUGGAACUUCGAUGCACUUUUCCAGCCCCAACAGCACCCUGCCCGUGAUUCACAUGAUACUUUCUUUUUGAAAGUGCCUUCCUCUACAAAGAUGCUGCCAGAAGAUUAUGUUGAGCGGGUAAAAGAAAUUCAUGAAUCUGGUGGUUACCAAUCUAGGGGAUAUGGGUAUGAUUGGAAAAGAGAGGAAGCGAACAAGAAUCUUUUGCGGACACACACUACUGCUGUUUCGUCAAGAAUGUUGUAUGCAUUAGCUCAGAAGCCAUUCGCCCCCAAGAAAUACUAUUCUAUUGAUCGUGUUUUCAGAAAUGAAGCAGUUGAUCGGACACAUCUUGCUGAAUUUCAUCAGAUAGAAGGUUUAAUAUGUGAUCGUGGACUUACUCUUGGUGACCUGAUUGGUGUUCUUCAUGACUUCUUUUCUCGUCUAGGAAUGUCCAAGCUUCGGUUCAAACCUGCUUAUAAUCCUUAUACUGAGCCCAGCAUGGAAAUUUUCAGCUACCAUGAAGGCUUUAAGAAAUGGGUGGAAGUUGGAAAUUCUGGUAUGUUUAGGCCUGAAAUGCUUCUUCCUAUGGGUCUGCCAGAAGAUGUUCGUGUUAUUGCCUGGGGCCUUUCCCUUGAGAGGCCAACGAUGAUUCUCUAUGGAAUUGACAACAUCAGAGAUCUUUUUGGUCCCAAGGUGGAUCUAGGUCUCAUCAAAAGAAAUCCAAUAUGCCGGCUUGGACUUUAGUAAUACAGCAUAUUCUAUCACAUUGUUUAUGGUUGAGAUCAGAUUUUUCUACUGCUCAAUCAAGUUGAGGUUGAUAGGUGGAGUUUAGGACUGAGCACCGGACCUGAACAAACUUUCUAGCCAAGAACGACGAGGUGGAGCUAGGUGGGGUUCAUGGAUCUGAACAACCCACUAGUUUUUUUGUAGAUCCUAUAUUUGUAGGAACGGGAAAGGGUCAAAAACUACCGUUUAACUAUUCGAAAUAGCUUCAAUAUACUUAUUUUUGGUUA